UCUGAUCAUAAUACUUCAAUUAAAAACUAAAAAACUAAAAUAAAAAGAUCAAAUUUUAGUCCAAAUUGUAUUUAUUAAUUUCUUGGGGCUCCCCAUGGUCUGGAUCUCUGGAGCAGAUCUCUGCAUCUUAGUCCUGCUUCUCCUUGUUGUUUCUAUAUUUUCCACAUCUCGAUAUUAACGCUUGGUAUUUUUUUGUUCCUGGGCCCAGGAUUCUCAUUCAUGUCAAACACCAUAUACAGUGGUACCUCGGGUUACAUACGCUUCAGGUUACAGACUCUGCUAACCCAGAAAUAGUACCUCGGGUUAAGAAGUUUGCUUCAGGAUGAGAACAGAAAUCGUGCUCCGGCGGCAGCAGGAGGCCCCAUUAGCUAAAGUGGUGCUUCAGGUUAAGAACAGUUUCAGGUUAAGUACGGACCUCCGGACUGAAUUAAGUACUUAACCCGAGGUACCACUGUACUUUCAUCAUCCGAAUAAAACUUUGUUAAUAUAAAAUUUUUCCAACUGCCUUUUUCUCAGCUCAGCUUCGUCUGAUUCCGUUCCAAUUCCGGGAUGUUGUCCAAGUCUGUUAUCUUUGAUGGGGCAGCAACUCCUUAAUUGUCCAACCUUCCUUUUGAACUUUGUUAAACCAGUACCUUCCAAAUUAAGUUAUUAGGCAAAACUGUUUGCAAUAUUAAACUGUGUUCCACAGUAUCAGUCAUUUGGCGAUCGAUCGGCCUUUGGAAACCGCACUGUCCCCACUCUGGGCCCUGGGGGGGGGGGGCUGCUAGACAUUCCUUAGCCUUUUCUUUCGCUCAUAAUGAAUAUAAAAAGCUUCUGCAAACAGCUGCACUGUGUAUUGUUCAAAGUAGUUAUCUUGAUUCAUCACACAGUCAGUCAGCACACAGCUCCUCUUAUCUCAAAGAAAGGAAGAGAUAUAAAAAUUCAUGCUGUGUCACUAGUAGAAACUAGUGGAAACCAUCGUGUCUCUUCCUGCAUCUCUGUCAGAUCUCUCAAAUCCGAAAUGAAGCUGAGCGGUUAAAUGCCUAAUUAUAAAUAAAAGUCCAUCUGUACUUGUUUUUUUAAAGUUUAAAUUCUUAAUGAGGCUUCAAUUGCUAGACGAGCAUGGAGCCGAGCCAUUUCCUACACCCUCCACCUAUUAGCAUCGGAUGCUCGAAUUAGAGGUGGCUUUUCCAAUCUGAUCCUAAGAGAUAUUCAUAAUUCCCCUUGGAAAACUACAAUUAACCUCAAAUUCCGCUCUCUUCUCAAUUUGAAUUGUAAAACUGUUCUUAACUUAGAGUGUAUUAGCCCGGUGGCCCUACCCCUAAUUAAAAGAAACUACAGCAACUUGACUUCUCCAACACAGCUUCUUGUGCAAGAGGACCGUGUUCAGGCCUAGCCCUAGCUAUUCCACCCCCUGAAGGGAUCCUCUAUACUGCUUCACAAUUUCUUCGGAGACUAAGCGAAGGGCUUUUACCUGUGCCCGUCUCAACUGUUUUCCUACAGCAGUUCUGUCGGGUCGUUAUUCCAGAGUUCCCAUCGCAAACAGAACAUGCUCCUGUAAUGACACGGCCCUGGAGACUAUGGAACAUGUAAUGCUCUUCUGUCCCAACUGGACAGAUGAAAGAUCUCGGUUUUUAACUCCCCUCAUGAAUAAGUUCCAUCUCCCAAUCCAGCCUUGGAUAGUGUCCCUCUUUUUGCAGGAUUCUGAUUGUUGGAUUACUGAGAUGACAGCUAAUUUCCUGCUUAGUGUGAUGAAGAGGAAAGCGGCACUAACUUCUUCCUUAACACCACAGAUGCAGUCGAUACGCCGCACAACCGAACGAAGUUCCAAGUAGCCUUAUUGUACAAGGACAAUCGAGUUAGGACUAAUCUGAGGAGCUGAAGGACCCUUUAAGGGUCCUCCUCCAGCCUCAGCAGCUUUUGUUUUUUUUUUUUUCCCCACUUUCUUUAAGUAUUCGCCCAGGACGAUGUCUACCUCUACCUCCCCACCCCCAUUUUAUGUUGUUAUUUCAAUGUAUAUCAUGCUAUGGCCACUCGGCUAAUGCAAUAAAUAAAUCUAUCUAUCUAAUGAGGCUUGGCAUAAAAGACCAAUUAUAAUUGUUGAGUAGAGAGAGGGGGGAAAACAUAGCAAACGUGAUCCAAACACCAUGAUGAGAAUCUCUUUGAAGUCCGAACUUAACCCCCAGGAACUGUACACUUCUGCAGGUUUUUCCUCACGCUCCUUCAAUCCAGCUGUGUCUGUUUAUCGUCAAAAUCUAUUAAUAUUCCCAAACAGAUGCUCCCGGCUAUGAGAAUGACAUCGAAGGAGUGCCAUUCGUUCUGUGCUCGUUGACCCAGUGUCCUGCCAGCUGCACUUUAGUGCACGCCGGCAAUCUUGGACAAUCCGCAGGUCUUUGAGACAAUCCUCCCCUACCCUGCGGAGGCUGCCAGGGCUAAUUACCCCCAUAUCAGCCCUGAAUUAUUGGAACGGCUGGGGUCCGAUCUUGUGGGAGUCCGCCAUUUCCCACCGCCAGAAACAGGAAGCCUUGAGAGGCGUCUUCUAAUAACUAAAGGGCUGUGCCAUGGAAGAUGGAGCAAAAUGGUUUUCUCCUGCCACAGAGGUUAGGACUGAGGCCAUUGACUUCAAGUUACAGGAAAGGAGAUUCCAGCUAAAUAGCAGGCAUAACUUUCUAACAGAAAGAGUGAUAUAACUGUAGAACAGACUUCAGCAGAAAGUGCUGGACUGUUCUUGAUUGGAGAGGCUGAAUGACGAUUUGUCACAGACAAUGCUAUUUUUCUAGAAAAAGAGGUGCCAGAACACACCAUGAACUUCUCCCUUGUUUUCCUAGAAUGGCAAUGGCACCCACCUGAGAGGAGCCAGAGCAGAGCUCUGGUGAGCUCCAGCUGAAAAAUAUCAGCCCUGGUCAUGGAUGCUUUAGUUGAGCUUCCUGCAAUGCAUGGGGUUAGAUUAGAUGACCCUCAGAGUCCCUUCCAACACUGUUUUGGUUGUUAGUCGUGUCCGACUCUUCGUGACCCCCUGGACCAGAGCACGCCAGGCACUCCUGUCUUCCACUGCCUCCCCCAGUUGGGUCAAACUCAUGCUGGUAGCUUCGAAAACACUUUCCCACCAUCUCGUCCUCUGUCGUCCCCUUCUCCUUGUGCCCUCCAUCUUUCCCAACAUCAGGGUCUUUUCCAGGGAGUAUUCUCUUCUCAUGAAGUGGCCAAAGUAUUGGAGCCUCAGCUUCAGGAUCUGUCCUUCCAGUGAGCACUCAGGGCUGAUUUCCUUAAGAAUGGAUACGUU
rnacentral:lncRNA from 1 species